AAAUGUGGAGAUCUACCGAUGAAGCUUCAUCUAGCGAGAGAUUUCAAGUUCGAAAUCGGAGUACAUCUAAUAAAAUGUGGAGAUCUGCUGAUGAAGCUUUAAUGAGGAGAUCUGCUGAUGAAGCUUUAAUGAGGAGAUCUGCUGAUGAAGCUUUAAUGAGGAGAUCUACUGAAGCAAUUAAUCGUUUAGCUGAAGGUGUUAAACGUCUUGAUCUUUCUAAUGAUGAUGAAGAAGAAGAUGAUGAAGAAGAGGUUUCAGAUGAAGAGGAGGAAGAA
rnacentral:lncRNA from 1 species